GGAGCCUGAGAAACGGCUACCACAUCCAAGGAUGGCAGCAGGCGCGCAAAUUACCCAAUCCCGACACGGAGAGGUAGUGACAAUAAAUAACAAUACGGGGUUCUUUAGGAUCUCGUAAUUGGAAUGAGUACAAUUUAAAUCUCUUAACGAGGAACAAUUGGAGGGCAAGUCUGGUGCCAGCAGCCGCGGCAAUUCCAGCUCCAAUAGCGUAUAUUAAAGUUGUUGCAGUUAAAAAGCUCGUAGUUAAAUUUCGGGGUUAGUAGGUUGGUCAUGCCUCUGGUAUGUACUGGUCUCACUGAUUCCUCCUUCCUUAUGAACCGUAAUGCCAUUAAUUUGGUGUUGCGGGGAAUUUGGACUGUUACUUUGAAAAAAUUAGAGUGUUUAAAGCAAGCUAACGCUUGAAUACAUUAGCAUGGAAUAAUGAAAUAGGACGUUCGAUCUUAUUUUGUUGGUUUCUAGGAUUGACGUAAUGAUUAAUAGGGAUAGUUGGGGGCAUUAGUAUUCAAUUGUCAGAGGUGAAAUUCUUGGAUUUAUUGAAGACUAACUACUGCGAAAGCAUUUGCCAAGGAUGUUUUCAUUAAUCAAGAACGAAAGUUAGGGGAUCGAAGACGAUCAGAUACCGUCGUAGUCUUAACCAUAAACUAUGCCGACUAGGGAUCGGAUGAUGUUAAUUUUUUAAUGACUCAUUCGGCGCCUUACGGGA
rnacentral:rRNA from 1 species